AUUGAACGCUGGCGGCAGGCCUAACACAUGCAAGUCGAACGAGUGGCGGACGGGUGAGUAAUGUCUGUGAAACUGCCCGAUGGAGGGGGAUAACUACUGGAAACGGUAGCUAAUACCGCAUACCAUCGUAUGCUCCCAGAUGGGAUUAGAUAGGAGGUGGGGUAACGGCUCACCUAGGCGCCGCGCCGUAGCUGGUCUGAGAGGAUGACCAGCCACACUGGAACUGAGACACGGUCAAGAGGCCUACGGGAGGCAGCAGUGGGGAACAGGGCACAAUGGGCGGAAGCAUGAGGCAGCCAUGCCGCGUGUAUGAAGAAGGCCUUGGGGUGGUAAAGUACUUUCAGGGAGGAGGCGUUACUCGCAGAAGAAGCACCGGCUAACUCCGUGCCAGCAGCCGCGGUAAUAC
rnacentral:rRNA from 1 species